CGAGCUGGGUUCAGAACGUCGUGAGACAGUUCGGUCCCUAUCCGUCGCGGGCGCAGGAAAUUUGAGAGGAGUUGCCCUUAGUACGAGAGGACCGGGGUGAACAAACCGCUGGUGUACCAGUUGUUCCGCCAGGAGCAUCGCUGGGUAGCUAUGUUUGGAUGAGAUAAACGCUGAAAGCAUCUAAGUGUGAAACUCGCCUCGAGAUGAGAUUUCCCAUUCUUUAUGAAGUAAGACCCCUUAGAGAUGAUGAGGUAGAUAGGCUAGAAGUGGAAGUUGAGUGAUCAAUGGAGCGGACUAGUACUAAUAGGUCGA
rnacentral:rRNA from 1 species